GUCAGUCUUGAGUACAGUAGAGGUGGGCGGAAUUCGUGGUGUAGCGGUGAAAUGCUUAGAUAUCACGAAGAACUCCGAUUGCGAAGGCAGCUCACUGGACUGCAACUGACACUGAUGCUCGAAAGUGUGGGUAUCAAACAGGAUUAGAUACCCUGGUAGUCCACACAGUAAACGAUGAAUACUCGCUGUUUGCGAUAUACAGUAAGCGGCCAAGCGAAAGCAUUAAGUAUUCCACCUGGGGAGUACGCCGGCAACGGUGAAGCUCAAAGGAAUUGACGGGGGCCCGCACAAGCGGAGGAACAUGUGGUUUAAUUCGAUGAUACGCGAGGAACCUUACCCGGGCUUAAAUUGCAGUGGAAUGAUGUGGAAACAUGUCAGUGAGCAAUCACCGCUGUGAAGGUGCUGCAUGGUUGUCGUCAGCUCGUGCCGUGAGGUGUCGGCUUAAGUGCCAUAACGAGCGCAACCCUUAUCUUCAGUUACUAACAGGUCAUGCUGAGGACUCUGGAGAGACUGCCGUCGUAAGAUGUGAGGAAGGUGGGGAUGACGUCAAAUCAGCACGGCCCUUACGUCCGGGGCUACACACGUGUUACAAUGGGGGGUACAGAAGGCAGCUAGCGGGUGACCGCAUGCUAAUCCCAAAAUCCUCUCUCAGUUCGGAUCGAAGUCUGCAACCCGACUUCGUGAAGCUGGAUUCGCUAGUAAUCGCGCAUCAGCCACGGCGCGGUGAAUACGUUCCCGGGCCUUGUACACACCGCCCGUCAAGCCAUGGGAGCCGGGGGUACCUGAAGUACGUAACCGCAAGGAUCGUCCUAGGGUAAAACUGGUGACUGGGGCUAAGUCGUAACAAGGUAACC
rnacentral:rRNA from 1 species